AUGACAGAAGGCAGAGAUCUACCUAAGGAACCUGUUCUAAGGAACACCAUUGCUUGCAGUAGCAGAGGUCGAGGAUCCUUCUCCCUUACAAAGGGUAUAAGCUGGGAUUCAGAAAAACAAACAAGGACUCACUGCACUGUUGAGUUUCAACCACUGGGGAGCACUAGAGUAACAGAAGAACUUUCUGAGGACCCCUACACUGAAUUUCUUGAUACCUGUUCAAGGACACCGUGUUUCCUGUCGGAACCUGGCACCUGGUCCAGGGGACCGCUCGGUGCUGAACUUAAUGCCAGAGAUAGAGAAAUUGAGUAAAACACAGUUUCCUGGUCUCACGGAGCUCCAGUUGGGUGAGAGAACAAGAUUCAUAAACAUAAAAUCACAAGAAAAUAACACACAUAAAUAUACACCAGUUUCAGUAGAAGAAGAAAAAAAAGAACUCUGUACUUUCAUAAAAGUAAAGGAGUCUGGGGGGUGCCUGGGUGGCUCAGUGGUUAAGCAUCUGCCUUCAGCUCAGGUCCUGAUCCCAAAGGACUGGGACUGAGCCCCGUGUUGGGCUCCCUACUCAGCGGAAAGCCUUCUUCUCCCUCUCCCACUCUCCCUGCUUGUUAUCCCUCUCUCAUUGUGUCUCUCUCUGUCAAAUAAAUAAAUCAAAUCUUUAAAAAAAAAAAAAAAAGAGUAAAGCAGUCUGAAAAAGUUAUUUUGGACAGGGUUGAACCCAAAUGGUAUGAACAGUCCAGCAUUUGCCAAAUUAUGUGCAAAU
rnacentral:lncRNA from 1 species